UUAAGGCCUUUGCAAACAGUUUGGAUCCAGAUGAGAUGCCACAGAACGUGGCAUCUCAUCAGGAUCCAAACUGUUUGCUAUUCUGAUAGUAUGCUUUGAAAAAAUCGAAGAAAAUGCUAAUUUUAUAAAUUCAGCAGACGACAGUUUAGCAGACGACAAAUUUCCCAGCAUGCAAAGGAUUAAUAUACAUGAGAUUCCAGGCGGAAUUUAAAAUCUGUACCACUCUGAUCUCCAGUAGCAGCCCCAGCUGUGGGAGGCAGAUUCAUGAUGCACCUAUGGCCUUAAUUAUCUCUGAACAUCCCAACCUCACAUGACCUGUAGGGCGGGGAUGUAUAUAAAUGAUCAUUAAAUCCCACAAACCAAGGAGAGGUUAUAUUGGAGUCAAUUUUAUUGGUUCGUGUUCAGUGUCAAGCAGUAUCCUAGUAAUCGAGCCAGGUCAGCGCAGCAGCAACAACAGAUGCAGCAGCAGUCGUAUGAAAUACAUCAACAACUGGUGCAUAUGCAUUAAACUAUAAAGAAGAAAAUCAGAUAACAAAGCGUUGAUGUUGUUCUGGAUGCAUUAGCAGUCACAGUACAUGAACCGACAGUAGUCAUCAUCUCGAGAUUCUGGCCUCUGAACCAUCAGUCUAUGAACAUAAUGCAGAGCAAUCUAGGGACGCCAAUGGACGAAAUCAAACUGACCGAUCAGCAACAAAGCCUGUUGCAGCAGUUGUUACCAUAUUGACCCCAGUCAAAUCAUGGAAGCUUAGACAUAAAUACUGUUUAAGAUGUGCCAGUCUCUACAGACCUCGUGGUCUGUUACGCACUUACUCUGACAGGUCUCAUCUUUGGAUUUUGUGACGGGUGGAAAAUGAAUAACCUUGUUCAUAUUGAAAUGGCAGAAUGAAAAAGCACAACAACUCACGCGAAAAGCCAUAUAUUAAUUUGACCAGUCAUGGUUUAUUGGAAGAAAAACAAUCUGUCAUGUAUUAUGGAAACUCUGAUGCUGUGAGUCAUUAACAAUUGAUGAGAUGUGUUAAAUGUAGUUAAGUAUAAUGAGAUUAAGGUAACUUGAUAAAGGCGUGUAUGUUAAGUAUUAUUUUAAGCACACAUAUUGCACGUCUAUAUAAUUAUUUGUAUUACGAAACUUGCAUCUGUUAACGUUAUAUGCAUGGAAAAUAAAUUUUACUUCAGACAUUCUUUCAUACGUUGAGCUUGAGAUAAUUCAAAGCUGUUUUAAUGAUGCUGGUAACUUGGACGCAAUCACAAAAUAUGUAUUGGAUUUGGUUCAUGUAAUAAGCAUGUUUCAGUUUUCUGUUUUUACAUGCAAUAUAGAAAUGCUAGCUAAAAUAACUGUGCAGAAAGGUUGAGAGUUUGAGGCUUCCUAUUUGAUCUGUCUGUCUUUUUCUAUACAAUAAUCUUAUUAAGUUUGCUCAUUUGGGUCCGUUUUUUAUCAAGAAUCUUGUUAAGUAUGGCAGUAUUUGAAAUGAAUAUAAAUUGAAUGUAGACAACAUUAUUUAAUCUUUCAAUUGUCAGUUCUGUAUUUACUUCUUUUACUUAAUUGAUUUGAAUGGAGAUUGUUUGUUAAAUUAUAAGAUAAUUACUUGUUCUUUAUUUGGAAUGCUUUAAUUGUUUUGAAACUGAGUAUUUAAAAAUAAAUUUAUUAAAUAAUUAUGAUAAGGUUCAUGAAUAAAAGCCAAAGUCGUGAUUGUUAUUGUCUAUUUUUUGUUGUUAUAUACAUUAUUUACAUGCUCAUAAAUGUUGACAAUUGUGUUCGGACAUAAUAUAUGUUUUAUGUCUUACAUUUGUGUAUAUACACAUUUUGAAGACCGGAUUUUC